CGGCAACGACCACCCAGGGCCGGAAAGUUGGUCAAACCCGGUCAUUUAGAGGAAGUAAAAGUCGUAACAAGGUCUCCGUAGGUGAACCUGCGGAGGGAUCAUU
rnacentral:rRNA from 1 species